UAGUCCACCCAUGUUAAAGGCAACAAACCCAUUUUCUCUCUCUCUUCCUUCAGCGCUUCUCUCUCUCUCUUUCUCUCUCUAUUUCUCCGAUCACUUGUUCAAUUGAAUAAACAGUAGGACAACUUGAGUUUUCACUUCAACAGAUUCAGAUUAUUGAGAUGGAUCAUCAUUUGUGGAUGUAUGAUAUGGAUUAUGAAAAUGUUGGUGGUUUAAAAUCCCAAUAUCUUGAUGGCAUUAGAGGUUUUAUCGAUCAUGCGAUGUCACACAUCUAUUUCAAAAAAAUGGAGUGGUUAGGUGUCCUUGUAGUUCAUGCAGGUGCUUGAAGUUUUUUCAACUAGAUUUAGUUAUGACUUAUCUCUAUCAUAAUGGAUUUAAGCCAAGAUACUUUGUGUGGGUCGAUCAUGGAGAAAGAGAUGGAUUGAAUGGUAUAUUUUAUAAUUCGUUGCCUGUGGAUGAAUAUAACAUACUUGUACAUGGUUGACAUACUAGGAUUCAACAUGCUAAGAGUUCAAUAUAGGGUGCAACACGAUAGGGUACAACAUGAGGAUAGGGUUCAUGAAAUGGUUAAUGAUGCUUUUGUUAUUGGGGAUGGGAUGGAAUCCGAAUAGAAUUUAGAAGAAGAUCCUAAUGAUAAAGCAAGAGGUUUCUAUCAACAAAUAGAAGAGGCUAGUCGCCCACUAUGUAAAGGGAGUCUGCAUUCUGCUUUAUUUGUUGCAGUUAGAUUACUAAGUAUCAAAUCUGAUUGGAAUGUUGUUCAAGCUACCAUGGACUCUAUGGUUGGUCUUUUGGGUGAACUAGUAAAUCCAGAGUUGAACAUACCUCAGAAUUUUUAUCAAGCAAAGAAAUUGUUUUCUAAGUUAGGAUCGUCAUAUAAUAUUGUUGUAUAAAUGGUUGUAUGUUGUUCUAUAAGAAUGAUGCUGAAUUAGAAAAUUGUAAGUUUUGUGGACAUGCUCGUUAUAAGCGGACUCCCAGUGGAAAGAUGGUUUCUAUUAAGGCGAUUCACUAUUUACCUCUUAUACCUAGGCUAAAGAGGUUGUAUGCUUCGAUGAGUAUUGUAUGGAAAGAGGUUGUAUGCUUCGAUAUUGUGUGGUUGGAUGACUGCUGGAAAGUUAGCUUACCCAUAUUGAAUGGAAAAUAGCAAAGCAUUCACUUUAAAGUAUGGUUAAAAAAAUUCUUGGUUUGAUUGUCACCGCCAGUUCUUACCAAUGGACCACGAGUUUAGAAGGAUGAAAAAUGCGUUAGAAAGAAUAAGAUUUAAAAUGAUCUGCCACCUUCAUUAUUGUCAGGACAUCAGAUUUGGGAUAGAGUUUAUAAUUUUCCUAAAGUUACAGAUGGUCCACCUUCUAGACUUCCUGGAUAUAGUGUUGGACAUAAUUGGACCAAACAAAGCAUAUUUUGGGAGUUGCCGUAUUGGGGGGGCACAUUGAAAAAAAUUAUUUUGAUAAUUUAUUUAACACAGUCAUGGAUGUUAAAGGCAAGACAAAAGAUAAUUCAAAAGCUAGAAUGGAUAUAAAGGAGUAUUGCAAGAGAAAGGAAUUGUGGUUGAAGGAAAAAAAAUGGUAAAUUAUUUAAGCCCAAGGCUAGUUUUUCAUUCACAUUAGAUGAGAAACGAGAAAUAUGUGAGUGGGUUAAGAAUUUGAGGAUGCCCGAGGGGUAUGCUUCAAAUUUAAGAAAACGAGCGGAUAUGAAAGAAGGGAGGUUGAUUGGUAUGAAAAGCCAUGAUUGUCAUGUUUUUAUGGAAACCUUGAUUCCUAUCGCAUUUAGCCACUUCUCGAGAGGAUAUGGAAACCAAUCAUGGAGAUAAGUUUGUUCUUCAAAGAUUUAUGUUCGGGAAAGUUGUUGGAGAGUAGCUUGGACAGAAUGGAGCAGAAUAUUCCUGUCAUCACUACUAAGUUAGAGAAGAUCUUUCCAUGUGGCUUUUUUUAUGUGAUGAAGCAUCUUUCAAUUCACCUCGUAGAAGAGGUACGUCUUGGAGGCCCAGUUCAAAUGAGGUGGAUGUAUCCAGGAGAGAGGUAAAUUUUUUUAAAUUAAUGCUAUCAUUUUCUUAAAAAAAUCUUUUAUCUACCUACGAUAAAAUUAUGCAGGAAAAUUGGGGAGUGCAAACAGUCUAUUAAGCAAAGGGGAAAGAUAAAAGGUGAUGUCGACGAUAAUGGUCAAAUUGUUGAAUAUUUUGGUGUCAUACAAGAUAUAUUAGAACUCAGGUACCCUGGUUGGCCAAAAAAGAAGAUAAUUCUAUUUCGGUGCAAGUGGUUUGAUCCAUCACAUAGAGGUGGCAUCCCUCAUCAAAAAAAGUUAAUAAGGCAGUGAGGGAGAGCGUUAGGAGGCUUUUUUCACAACCUUGGCAUAGUUGGUCGGAGAUUCCAGAAGACCAUAGACAAGCAAUGUUUGAAGAGUUCAAGGAAUACUAGAUUUAAUAAUUAUUUAGUUAACUUUAAUAAUAAUAGAUAUUUGUAUAUUUAUACCAUAUAACGUUACUCAAUUUAUUUUCAAACAAUGUGUACUUAGUUGGAAAAACACAAUAGAGCUAUAUCCACUAUUUUUUAGAGGAAUGCUGGUGUAAGGAUAUGCAACUGGCUUGAAUGUGUUAGGCGUACAGGUAAUGUUGCACAAUGGCUUCUCAAAUAGGUAUAUGAUGUUUUGUGUAUUUAUUGGAAUUCUCCUGAAUAUAAGGCACUCAAUGAGCAAAAUAAGAAAGCGAGAGCCAGUUUAAAAGGUGACUCAUUACAUACCGGAGGUGCAAAGAGUGUUAGCGUCAUAGUUCAAGAAUUGAAAAAGAAAUUGGGUCGCGAACCGACUCAACUUGAGGUUUUCAGAUGAGCACAUUUUGUGAAAAAGACGAAUGAGUCAGACCCGGAUGUGUGGAUUGAGUCCAGGGCUGAAAAUGCGAAUAAUGAAUAUAUACGCUACUUUUUUGAGUUUGGUUCAACCCAGCCUACACAGGAGGAAUUAAAUAAUAUUUGGACCAAAAAAGUGGUGGGAGGAAAAAAGAAGGGGAAAACCUAUGGGUUUGGUUCUCGAAAUAAUUUACGACGUCUUCGUUCUGGAUGAGAUGGUAUUGGUUUCUCGCGCCAGGCUGAGUCGAUUGAUGGUGUUCAGUUUGCUGCUAUGUCGCAGCAGAUUAUAGAUCUUUCACGUGCCUUCGCACAGUCCGUUGCUCAAAAUGAAGUCAGGACCAAGACCAUCGAGGAACUCAAGAAACAAAUGGUUAGCAUGAGUCAUCGUCGUUACCGUUCCCCAUCUCCCGAUUCAAGUAGCAAAGAAGAAACAGAAAGUGAUGAGUUUGUUGACACUGCUCCUUAGUGUUAGUUCGAUUUGGCUUUUAGACUUUUUUUAGAUAUUAAUUAUUGAACUUAACUUUUAACUUUUGAAUUAAAAAGUUUAAAGACUUAAGUGUUUUGGAUGGUUUUGAAUUUACUUCUUAAGUGUUUUUGAAUAUUGGAUAAGUAUUUUGGAUGUUGUUUGAAGCGUUGAUGAUUUAAUUUACUUAAAUGUUUUGAUGAUGUAGUUCAUUGUA